UAUGGUUAUGGUAUUUGUCUUUUCCCUUUCUUAAUCCGAUGUGGCUUCAUCUUCAUCUUCAUCUUCCUCUUUCUUCAUAUCGUUUACAUGGUCAAUCAUUUUGUUCAUUGAACAGUCCUGAGAAAUGUACAGAAUUUGGUUAUUCCAUCGGAGAGAUUACCUUAAGGUAACUGGCCUUGUGCUCCUCAUUUGGACUCUUACAAGCUUCCGUUAACUGAUCGUUUGUUUUGAUGGUCAGUAUGUUACCACAUUCAAAGUUAUUAUACUCUUCUGGUGUCCAUUUCUCUUUCUAUGGUCAUUCAAAAUUGGAAAUUAAAUUUUCUCCAUCUCGUCUUCAUGGUCAAUGGUUAAACUUACCAUACAUUCAUUCACGUAUCGAUAAUAAACUGGAUUAAAUCCAAACCAACGGAACAAAGUGUAUACACAAGCAUCUUCAAUGGUACUUGGGAUCUUCGGUACUCCUUUCCAUUCAACCUGAGAAUCAGCUAAACAAGUCUAACAAUUUGGAAAAUCAAUUAAUCAAUCAAACGAUUAGUAUAUUCCAUUGGGUGUAUACUCAUUGCUUCCGAAACAAGUUAUCAUCUGGAAGGUUCAGAAAAUGAUCAAUUAAUUUAGAAUGUUCAAAAUUUUCAACAAUCAAUUUGAUUAUUUACUGUCUUAAAUUCAGCGUCUUGCUUUUCGAUACAUUUAUCCACCGAUGUUUGGUCAAAUUUGUCGAAAGUCUCACAAGCCCAACGUGCCUCUGUUUUGGCUGGAUAAUUUUUCAUCUACAAAUCGUCGUGAUUAUAAAAUGGAAAUAAAAGAAAACGUUAAUGGUCAGUGGCGAUUUCACCGCAAGUCUGAAUGGUCAACCAACCGAACAAGCUUCAAAUCUGUCUUUGUACAAUUCCUCCUCGUCGUGCCAAUAAUUUCGCGAUUUGAUACAAAAUUCAUCCAAAUCUUUGAAUGGCUUGUAGAGUAAAGCUAAUUAACCAGAAUAGGAAAAUAUCAGAAUCGGAAUCUAUCAAUUGUAUUCGCUCACCUUGUAAAGCAUAUUCCUGAUCGAGAUCACCAAGAGCUUUGAAAGUACAUGACUAGAAGAUGGAGAUAAUUAAGAUUCAAUUUCCAAGGCGAUGGUCAAAGAGAGAGAGAUAUAAACUUACCAAUAUGACGAUUUUUUCAUCAUGAGUGAUCAUAUUCUGUUUGAAACAUUCUGUUCCCUGGAAAGAAAAAAAGUUCCAACGAUUAUGAGCAAGACCAAUUAAGACUCGCAAUUACUUACGGAAUCAAAUUCUUCCUUGUGAUCCUCCGGUGAUUUACAUUUCUCAUGGAAAUCGUUUAAACUUUUAAUCGGAUAUUUGGCAUGACACUGAAUUCGUUUUCCAACUCGAUCAUUACCGAUAACUUUAAGCUAAACAAUAGAACGAAAAUCGAGAAAAUCUAUUGGAUCUAAUCACUUGAUUGUUGGAACAAUUAACUUACAGUACAUGCAUGAUGAGCUUCAAAAUGAGAGGGAUGAUUAAGAUAAUAACCGAUCAUGUUAAAGUCGCAAACUUCACUGAUAUUGUUCAUUCGAGAUAAAUACCAACGGAUAUCUCGUUUUCUGCGCUUCGAUUGAGUCUUUCGGUAUCCCAUACAGUCCUACAACAAUUAGCGAAUUAUAAUCAAGUACUUAUUUUUCAACAAUCGACAAGUUCUAGGCCAAUACUUACCGCUAAUUUGCUCCAUUCUUCUUCGGUUAACUUUGUCUCAUCUAAACACUUCUUCAACUAUAAAAUCACGAUGAUUGGGAGAAAUUAACUUUACAAUCAACUAAACCAAUCCAAGGGAAAUUACAACUUACCGAUUCAAAUUUACUCUGGUGAUUUUCGGGAGCUAAACAAUAACCAAUAUCCUUUGGAUCCAUGAUUGAUAAACAUUGAUUUUCCCGUUGCUUAUAUUUUUCCAGUGAUACUUGGGACUAAUUUGAAAAUUCAAAGAAUCAAAUUACCGUUAUAUUUGAUUUAGAUCUUAGAACUUAUACUCACCAUACAAGUUCGAUACUUGAGAUCAAACAAAUGUCGACGAUGGUGCAUCUCGAGGUGCCAUUUAUGGCGAUUACAAAGUUCCGUCAUGUUGGUCGGUGGUUCAUGAUGACGCAUUAAAUGUGGAUGAUGAG